rnacentral:rRNA from 1 species
GAUGAACGUUGGCGGCGUGCCUAAUACAUGCAAGUCGAGUGAACGGACGAGAAGCUUGCUUCUCUGAUGUUAGCGGCGGACGGGUGAGUAACACGUGGAUAACCUAUCUAUAAUACUGGGAUAACUGCGGGAAACCGUAGCUAGUACCGGAUAAUAUUUUGAACCGCAUGGUUCAAAAGUGAAAGACGGUCUUGCUGUCACUUAUAGAUGGAUCCGCGCUGCAUUAGCUAGUUGGUAAGGUAACGGCUUACCAAGGCAACGAUGCAUAGCCGACCUGAGAGGGUGAUCGGCCACACUGGAACUGAGACACGGUCAAGACGCCUACGGGAGGCAGCAGUAGAGAAUCUUCCACAAUGGGCGAAAGCCUGACGGAGCAAAGCCGCGUGGGUGAUGAAGGUCUUCGGAUCGUAAAACUCUAUUAUUAGGGAGGAACAUAUGUGUAAGCAACUGUGCACAACAUGACGGUACCUAAUCAGAAAGCCACGGCUAACUACGUG